AAUAAAAAAAUUGUUGCUUGCCAUGGAAAAACUCAUUGUGAAUGUAGCAUUUACGAAAUUUCGUUCCAAGAUGGAAAACGUCAUCCUCCCACAGCGCAAUGGAUUUGACUGUGGUAUCUUUGUUAGGAAGUUCAUGGAACAAUCAGAUAAUUAUGUGAAGAGAAAUCCUUCAUUUCUGGUAUGCCUCUUACGAACAUGUAAUCGUAGACUCAUAGGUAAGCACUCACAAAUGCCCGCACAUAGUCCUACACCGGCACUCAAGUACUCUCUCUUACCCCGUGAAGUAAAUGGAGGGGAAGAUAAGAACGAGGAA